UACGUAGGGGGCAAGCGUUGUCCGGAUUUAUUGGGCGUAAAGAGCGUGUAGGCGGUUUGGUAGGUCCGCUGUGAAAACUCGAGGCUCAACCUCGAGACGCCGGUGGAAACCAUCAGGCUAGAGUCCGGAAGAGGAGACUGGAAUUCCUGGUGUAGCGGUGAAAUGCGCAGAUAUCAGGAGGAACACCGGUGGCGAAGGCGGGUCUCUGGGCCGAUACUGACGCUGGAGGAGCGAAAGCGUGGGGAGCGAACAGG
rnacentral:rRNA from 1 species